rnacentral:rRNA from 1 species
AUGGCGCCGCCGCCCGAGGAGGAGCGGGGCGGCGGUGGCUGCCGCGCGAGGUGGCUUCGGCGGGAGGUGCUGCUGGCCCUCGCGCUGGGACAGCUCGUCUCGCUCCUCAUCACCUCCACCGGCUUCUCCUCCUCCGAGCUCGCGCGCCGAGGUAUCAAUGCACCAACGUCGCAGUCCCUCUUGAACUACAUCCUUCUUGCUCUUGUCUACGGUGGAAUACUCCUCUACCGGAGACAGCCACUCACGACAAAAUGGUACUACUACUUGAUCCUCGGCAUUAUUGAUGUGGAGGCUAACUAUAUUGUUGUCAAAUCUUAUCAGUACACAUCUUUAACGAGUGUGAUGCUGCUGGAUUGUUGGUCAAUUCCAUGUGUAAUUGUUCUUACUUGGAUCUUUUUGAAGACCAAAUAUGGAUUCAGGAAGUUCUUCGGUGUUGGGGUUUGUGUGGCCGGCCUUAUAUUAGUAGUAUUUUCAGACGUCCAUGCCUCUGAUCGAGCUAAAGGACCCAAACCUUUGAAGGGUGAUUUACUUGUAAUUGUUGGCUCCAUGCUUUAUGCUUGCAGUAAUGUUACUGAGGAAUAUCUAGUCAAGAAGAACAACCGAAUUGAGUUGAUGGCUAUGUUGGGAAUUUUUGGAGCAGUUAUCAGUGGCAUACAAAUAAGUAUUCUUGAGCGAGAAGAACUUCAUUCGAUCAAAUGGAAUGCCGGCGCGGUGUUCCCUUUUAUCGGAUUCGCAUUGGCAAUGUUCCUGUUUUACUCGACUGUACCUACGGUGCUGAAGAUUUGUGGGGCAACCAUGCUAAACCUCUCACUCCUGACCUCAGACAUGUGGGCUGUCCUGAUCCGCAUCUUCGCCUACCAUGAGAAGGUUGACUGGAUGUACUUCGUUGCGUUUGCCUGCACGGCCGGGGGCCUUCUGGUCUACUCGUACAGGAGCUCCAAGGAGGCUGAUGACACGGCGCAGGUCACUGGGGCCAGCGACGAGCAGAGUAGGGUAGGGGAUGAGGAGUCUGGAAUUCAGAACCAGGUGCGAAGUUCCUUUGCUGGCGGCAACGACGAUCAGGUCUCCUACAAGGAGUUGCCAUCAAAUGGCAGCCCCUCCAAGAACUAG